CUACGGGCGGCAGCAGUAGGGAAUAUUGGACAAUGGGCGAAAGCCUGAUCCAGCAACGCCGCGUGCACGAUGACGGCCUUCGGGUUGUAAAGUGCCUUUAGAGGAGAUGAGAAAGGACAGUAUCCUCUGAAUAAGCCUCGGCGAACUACGUGCCAGCAGCCGCGGUAAAACGUAGGAGGCAAGCGUUAUCCGGAUUUAUUGGGCGUAAAGCGCGUGCAGGCGGUUUGACAAGUUGGAUGUGAAUGCUCCCGGCUUAACUGGGAGAGGUCGUUCAAAACUGUCAGACUAGAGAAUGGGAGAGGGAGGUGGAAUUCCGGGUGUAGUGGUGAAAUGCGUAGAUAUCCGGAGGAACACCAGUGGCGAAAGCGGCCUCCUAGACCAUUUCUGACGCUAAGACGCGAAAGCUAGGGUAGCAAACGGGAUUAGAUACCCUUGUAGUC
rnacentral:rRNA from 1 species